rnacentral:lncRNA from 1 species
GUAUAUAUCUGCUAGCUAGCAAGGGACGUCGUUGAAGUUGACACCAACCAACUCUACUGAUUUUUGUUAUAGACAAAUGGAGAAGAGUACUAAACCUGCAAUGACAUUGAUUGGGAGAGUUUGCAACACUGGUGGUUAUUGGAAACUGAUGACAACCAAGGCCUCUAACCGGGCUGCAGUUCACGGUGUUAAGCAACCUGCUCCCGACUUCAUCCCAGUAACCCAACCUAACCUAGCCAGCCUCUCUUCCACUUCAUUUUCUUGCUCAUUUUAUUAUUAAAUAAUAUAUGCAUGCCUGUGCUUUUAUUUUGCAGAAGGAGCAAGUUCAGGAGGAGAUUGAGAAAGCCAAAAAAGACAAAGAAGCUAAGAGGAAACACAUUGAGGACACUCUCAACUCCCAUCUCCCCAACUUCUCCAACUCUGAUUCCUCUACCUCUCCUCCAAAUUGAUCUACUUACUCCCUCGUAUCUAUUCACUCUUUGUACUUAAUAUUAAACAAAAUCCAACACUAUUUUCUCUGCUAAACACUAGUAAGUUUUAUUUUCUUAUUUAUUUAUUUAUUUAUUUAUUAUGUAUCAACAUAAUUGGCUAAAACCUAUAAUCAAAGCGAGAAAAGAGUGAAAAGAUUUUGUUGCAAGAUUUCAAAUAAGACCUAAAUUUCGGAUGCAAUGCACACAGCACACUAUUGAAUUUGGCCACUAAGUUCAAACCUCUGUUAGAGGCUGCGGCUGCAAAACAACAUACAAUCAAC